rnacentral:tRNA from 1 species
AGACACGUAGCUCAGUUGGUUAGAGCACCACCUUGACAUGGUGGGGGUCGUUGGUUCGAGUCCAAUCGUGUCUACCA